rnacentral:rRNA from 1 species
CACGGAGUUAGCCGGUGCUUAUUCGUAUAGUACCUUCAGCUUUCCACACGUGGAAAGGUUUAUCCCUAUACAAAAGAGGUUUACAACCCAUAGGGCCGUCGUCCUUCACGCGGGAUGGCUGGAUCAGGCUCUCACCCAUUGUCCAAUAUUCCUCACUGCUGCCUCCCGUAGGAGUCUGGUCCGUGUCUCAGUACCAGUGUGGGGGAUCACCCUCUCAGGCCCCCUAAAGAUCACUGACUUGGUAGGCCGUUACCCUACCAACUAUCUAAUCUUGCGCGUGCCCAUCUCUAUCCACCGGAGUUUUCAAUAAUAAGUGAUGCCACUCAUUAUAUUAUGGGGUAUUAAUCUUCCUUUCGAAGGCUAUCCCCCUGAUAAGGCAGGUUGCACACGUGUUCCGCACCCGUACGCCGCUCUCAAAGAUCCGAAGAUCUUCUACCGCUCGGCUUGCAUGUGUUAGGCCUCCCGCUACGCGUUCACUCCUGAGCAGGAUCAAACUCUC